GUCUACACUUAGCAACUGCCACUGGACAAAAAAAAAUCCCUUUUUACCUUGUAAACAGGACCAAAGCCACCUUCUCCAACCAUAUUUUCCUGCGAGAAGUUUCUAGUGGCAGCAGAAAUAGUUGCCAAAUCAAACACAGAGUUGAAUGGUUCAUAGAAAGAGAUCAAUUCAGUGUUGUUAAAUUCCAUUACAGGUUUAAAAGCCGGAUUGUUGCCUGCUUGAUGGCCACUGAAUCGAAGUCCAUUCCAUGGUCCGGAUCGGUACUUUUUGGUUGAUCCCAUGGUGAUAACCAAUUGAGGCAACCCAUUAUUUUCAAUUCUGUAAGUGAAAUCUCCUGGAGAUGGGUCAUCGGCGGCUUUCCAUGAUGUCAUAUGCUGAUCUAGACCUGUGUUAGUAUUUGCUCCAAGCUUCAUGCCUGGUAACCGGGUAUCACACAUGGAAUCAAAGCUCUGCCAUAGGACAGAAUAUGUUUUUGUUCUCUCAAUGAGUUCAAGAUUUCCAGAAUCUAAGAGCUGAGCGAUUGGAGUGAUUUCUUCUGCUGACGCUCUUGUUGAGUUUGAUGACCAGAUGAUGCUCUGAGUUCCAUUUCGAAGGAUCAAUCCUCCAUCACUACUGAUAGCUAGGAUUCCUUGUACAUCUAUCAUUGGGUUGUUUCUAUUUGCAACCCAAACAACUGUAUCUGGGGUUCUAACAUACCAUAUUCCCAAGUACCUGUUUUUUGAGCUUCCGGGAGAGAAGAAGCCGAGCUCAAACUUUUGGCCGGGUGAAACUAAAGUUUCACCAUCCCUCAGGGAUUGGCUUGAACUUAAGGUAUCGGCUGCAAUGGAAAAUUUGAGGAGGGUUGAGGAAAAAAAUAAAGCAUGGAAGAAGGUGAGGAAAGCCUGUCUCUCCAUUGCAUUCUCAAGGCAAAAGGAGAGACUUGUGUAGAAGGGUAGUCUGAUGAUAUUAUGAUGGGGGUGUAUUUGGGAGCAUCAAGGUCUUGGUGAAGAAAAAGAUGUUAUGUUAGCCAACAUUGACUGGAAGCUACACUUGAGGUGGAAAACACAACGCAGGCCAAAAGUCUUCAAGCCGCAAAGGUUCAAAGGUCUACUAGAGAUGAAACCCACACUUAAGUAACUCUUGGGUCACUAACUUCUGCAUCAAUGGUAUGUCAAUGCACUCUUGUAAUUUCCCUUGUAUAUUGUACUAAUACUGUAUACAGUGAAAAUCAUGGUAGUUCUAAGAGUAUAAUAUACUUUCCCUCAGUGUAACCAAUAUUUAAUCUGGAUAAUGUUGUUUACUUCUCAAGGUUAAACUUAAAUAGAAACUGUAAUUUUACCU